GCGGGGCUCUGCAGGCUGCAGCGGAGCUGGCGUCCUCCUCCCUCCCCCGCCGCAGCCAGAGAGCAGCAGCUGUUGGGAUCCAGCUGCCAUUUUUCAAACCAAUUAAGGAGCCCUGUUACUGCCCCCGGGAGGGAGUGUGUCUGUGUCUUCUGAGUCAGCAGCUCGGACCGGGGCCUCUGGGGACAGCUCGCAAGGCCCUAAUCGUCCCCUCAGAGUUAAAAAUAACAAGUAGCAAGCCACUACUCUUGACUUUACACUGCCGCAGGGGGCGGAGGUCGGGGGUGUCUCUUGCCACAGAGGUUUACCAUCCGAGGCGCCAGAGAGCGGCAGCCCGCUGGCAGCACGUUUUUCUUCCCAUUCGCGCUCUCCUGCUUCAGGUCCCCGUCCUGAAGUCAUCCAUCAGCUGUCCCACUUGCCAGAACCUUCAUCACAGCCCCCGGAGACCUUACCUCUGCUUUGCUCGACCACCUGAUAGCCAGUCCACAGGGUCCGCCCGCCCCACCUCCUCUCCCGUCUGUUUACUCCAUCAACUCAGCCUUUCUGGAUUCAGGGCCUUUGGCCACGAAACAACCCAGGUGGCUACAAACAGAGCCAACAUGGGGGCAGCUCCAAACCCUGAAGGUCUGAGGAGGCGGGAAGUGUCCCUGGCUUGUUGUCAUGGAAACCACAAUAGAGGCUUGCCUCCUGACCAACCCUGGUGCUUCCCCGUGUGCCCCACCCCCCCCAUGGCAUGGCACGCCCCCUCCUCUCGGGAGCUGUGAUUAUAAAACAUGUUUUCAAUA